GUUCAGGGAUGGGAAUCGAACCCACAAUGUUCCGCUUACCGGGCAGAUGCCAUGUCCACUAGGCUACCCUGGA